CUUGGAUCACCGAUAUUAGGGGCAAUGGUGUUAGAACUUGUAUGAAACCUUUAGCUGAAACUUAUUGUGUAAUGUUUAUUAAUUACUAAUAUGCUUAUAUGUACACAAUUGUGCAUUGAUAUCUUUUUUGUCUAUGUAGGUAUCAAGAAUAAGAUCAAGACGCCUGCAUAAGAGUAAGGAAUUUGGUCUAUAGUAGCGUUGUAUAUUUAUUUAAUAUAAACAACAUCUCAUCUGUACUCCUAAACUCUUCUAAGGUUUGAUUAGCAUAUAAUAUAAAUGUUGAACCAUUGUUAUCGUUUUUCACAUGUUUGGAAUUUCUGUAAAUAUCAAUCUCAUUGAAAGCAGCGAAUUUGAGUUGCCACAGUUUCAAUUUUAUUCUAUUUUGAAGUCAUGGUUACUUUAUGGUAAUUAUUUGUAACUUCUUACAAUUUUCUAUCAGGUUUGUCUAUCUCCAAAUUCCGUGAGAUAUAUUAGUGUUGGGGAACGUCGCAUGGGAAACAAAAUUUUUUCUACGCGCACGAAGACCUAUCAUGGUGAUGUCCUGCGGGUUCGAGAACUAUGUAGACAUGACCCGAGAGACUCCUCGGUCAAUAUCCAAUAGCGGGACCUGGAUGCCCAUAUUGGAUGCUACAUAUUCUACGAAGAUCUUAUCGUUUGAACCUCAGUGCCAAGGAUUCAUGUAAUCCCAUAUGUCAUUCCCUUUGUCCUUCGGUAUGUUACUUGCCCGAGAUUCGAUCGUCAGUAUCCGCAUACCUAUUUCAAUCUCGUUUGCCGG
rnacentral:lncRNA from 1 species